rnacentral:tRNA from 1 species
UCAAAUAUGGACUAGCGGUUAGGAUUUCUGGUUUUCACCCAGUCGGCCCGGGUUCGACUCCCGGUAUGGGAA